rnacentral:rRNA from 1 species
AGGAGUUUGGUAGUACCUCGGCGUCAGGAGUGAACGGCUGCGGCAUGCUUAACACAUAGCAAGUCGAACGGGAAGUGGGUGGUUUUCAGUGGCGAACGGGUGAGUAACGCGUAAGAACCUGCCCUUCGGGAGGGGAACGAACAACUGGAAACGGUUGCUAAUACCCCGUAGGCUGAGGAGCAAAAGGAGAAAUACCGCCCAACGGAGGGGCGUCGCGUCCGAUUAGUCUAGUUGGUGAGGUAAUAACUUACCAAGGCGAUGAUCAGUAGCUGGUCCGAGAGGAUGAUCAGCCACACUGGGACUAAGACACGACCCAGACUCCUACGGGAGGCAUCAGUGGGGAAUUUUCUGCAAUGGGCGAAAGCCUGACGGAGCAAUGCCGCGUGGAGGUGGAAGGCCUACGGGUCGUCAACUUCUUUUCUCGGAGAAGAAACGAUGACGGUAUCUGAGGAAUAAGCACCGGCUAACUCUGUG